GACAGAGGGGGCAAGCGUUGCUCGGAAUCACUGGGCGUAAAGGGCGCGUAGGCGGGAGGGCAAGUCAGUCGUGAAAUCUCUCGGCUCAACCGAGAAACGUCGGCUGAUACUGCCGUUCUUGAGGGAUGCAGAGGAGACUGGAAUUCCCGGUGUAGCGGUGAAAUGUGUAGAGAUCGGGAGGAACACCGGUGGCGAAGGCGGGUCUCUGGGCAUUUCCUGACGCUGAGGCGCGAAAGCGUGGGGAGCAAACGGG
rnacentral:rRNA from 1 species